CUUUUAUCAAGAAUGGUGGAGGGACUGGCCCUUUGAAGCCUGGCAACAGCUAGCAGUCAUAAGCUAGAAUUGUGCUAAAUCCUGCAGAUUAAUAUCUGUACUUAAAGGUAUAGAAUCUUUUUAUAUAUUAGAAAGAUUAAUCUGAGAGAUAAGAA
rnacentral:ncRNA from 1 species